UGUGUCUGUGUAUGGUAUUUUGUGUGAUGUAUGUAACUGAUGAAGCUCUGAUAGGCUAGGCAGCCAGGCUGAAGGAUUACUGGUAUGUUUCCUGAUACAAUGAGAGAUGUUUUGAGAAAGAUAACUUGAACAGAGAGUACUGGUGUGUGAUUCAGAUUUUUGACCCAAGCAUUCAUCAAUCAAGGCAAGAGAGAGAAUGGAGAAGCUCCUAAGGACUUCACUAGUGAUCAUGGGGUUUCUACUAAAAUGGGUGAGCUGCCAACAGAGGGUGGAACAGAAUCCUUCAUUUUUGCAUGUCCAGGAGGAAGAGAAUAUCACCAUCAACUGCACUUAUUCAGACCAAAACACUCAAGGCGUACAGUGGUUCCGGCAAUAUCCUGGGAAAGGCCUCACCUUGCUAAUUUACCUGGCUUCAGGGACAAAACAGGAAGGAAGAUUCAAAUUCACAUUCAGCAGAAAAGAUCGUUUUAGCUCUUUGCACAUCACUGCAUCUCAGCCUGGAGACUCAGCCACCUAUCUGUGUGCUGUGAUAGCACAGUGAUCUCCAGGCACCUGUAGCCUGUGCACAAACCCUGUGGUUGGAGGCUAUUCAUACUCCCUAGAAAAGUACAAUAGCAUGACAUCCUCAGAAUAUUUUUUCUCCCAGUUUCUCUAUCCUCUU